AUCAUCUUUAAAAAUCCGGUUUUAACUGAUUAAUGGUGGCUGGUCAGGUAUACACAAAUGUUUCGUAUCACGGAAAUACUCUGGAGUAAAAUGAUCGGAACAAAUGCGACCUACAAUAUCAAUACUUUUUAAUGUUUUUUCUAUUAGUCAUUUUAAUUAAUAUUAUUAAAAAAUGUUUUAAAUAUUGUUUUCAAAUUUUUCUAUAACUUACCAUUUUUAAUAAAAUUUAAAUAAAAUUAUUUAAUAUGUUUACCCUUUGUGUUUCCAUUUCAAUUAGAGCACGAUUUUAUUGAGCAAUUUGGCAUUUUUAAUAAUUUUUAAUGUAAAAAUCGUGUAGCAAAAUGUAAACAAAAGUUCUAAUAUGGCGGCGUUUAGGAAGGCGCAGAAUUGAACGAAAAUUGGUAGUUUACGGUGGGAGCACACCUUUCUUCUUACAUUAUGAUAUAUAUAUAUAUAUAUUUAUUUAUUUAUUUAUUUAUUUAUACAUACAUACAUAUAUUAUAGUCAAAGCCCGUAGCGCGGGCGUUCCUAGGAUUGACUGGUCAAUGCGCGGAAUAACCAAACGUUUUGGUCAGCCCGAAAUAGUUUUGUAUUCCGGCCUUUGACUAAUAUGUUUUUAGUCCAUUCUAGAAGUGACUAACAUGGCUGGUCAAAGUUAGAAACUGAAAAAAUCACUUGGAUUUUGACUAGUCAAUCCUAGGUGUGGCUUAAUCUAGACUUUAAAAAAUAAAGCCAAGAUUUUGUGAUAAUAUUUUUAUUGUUAACAUAAAGUAAGUUUUACUUUAUCUUUGUAGUUGUGUAAUUUGAAAUAUAAAGUAGACAAACCUUUGGUAACUUUGACCAGCCAUGUUAGUCACUCCGAGGAUGCAUGAUAAUACUUACGAGAUAAUCAACUUAACUACAAAAUUGUAUGUUUUUAAUUUGUUAAAAAAUUAGCAUUAUCACGCUUUGGCGUCACUGAGACCCCAAGCAACAGUUUAUAUUUGUUUGUUGUCAUUGACGAUUGACGCCGGCAACCGUUCGAGGUUUUAGUAUAACUAAUAAACAUUCCCCCCCCCCCUCCCCCAGUCCGGGAUCUCAGGCGGUGCUAUGGACAAAGCAGCAAGAAGAAAUUGCUCUGGGGUCCUAGAGACCCUUGUGCACGUUGUAGGGUUAUAAUGCAUAUUAUUCGACCUGGAUAAAUCACAAUUUUGUAAUAUCAAUAUUUUUUAAGAAGAAUUAAAGAUAUUAUUACUUGAGUUUUUUGGUACAAUAGUUUUUUCCUUGAGGAGUUAUAUUUAACAAAAAAUUAAAUAGUAGAACAAAUAAUUUUAUGGGGGAGUUGUGGUUAGGUUCGGUCAAUCAGAAGGCCUCCUUUUUAACAAUAAUAAUACGUGUCGGAUAUAUUUGAUCUCUUUAUAUGUACAACUGUAAUUGCGUUAAUGUGUAAUCGAUAGGAUCUUGAGGCCGGCGAGGACCCCCAGCCUUGUCGGUUAAAAACUUCCGACCAAAUAACCUGACUAGUCUAAUAUUAACUGAACGAAGUGGCGCCACAGAAGUGGACCACGGAUGACUAUGGAUUUUAUUUAUUUAUUUAUUUAUUGCCGAUUUAUGGCUUUUACUGCAGGACAUCGGGGGAUCCGGACAGCGAGGGCACUUUACACCCAAGCAAGAAGGAGAACCAAUUUUAAACUAUGGACAUUGGCGCAAGCCGCAUCAAUUGCGAGCUAUUUUAUUUAUUUAUUUAUUUAUUUAUAUUUAUUAAGCUUGGCAUAAUAAGAUGCGUUGUGGUAAGGCUAGCAGUGCGAGUCGUAAGGCCCCGAACCAAGGAACGGUGUGCCACGGCGGCAGAGCCAGAGUAUGUCUAUCACGGACCGGACAACUCUGGGCGGGAAUCCCCACGAGAUCUUUCCUGGUAACGGGCAAUACCAAAAAAUACGCCCGGCUAACUCCCGCUUUCUCAAAGUUAGAGAACUUUGUUUUUGGCUAAUUUUCCUGCCCAUGGCAAGAGUUCCCUGGCAGGUCAGUCAGACGGGUUUCAGACUGCGUACAGUCAGGUCGGAAGUCUAGAUAGUACGAACACGAGCAAGGUUUAUAUGAGCGAAAAAGGAACAUCAUUUUAUUUAAUCCUACUUAUCAUUGUUGGGAGCCCCGUGCAAACAUAGGGCGCCAAACAGUCAACUUGCCAGGCACCCUUACAGCCGGGGCUCCGUUGUUACUGGAGACCAUGCCAGGAUCAAAAUGAAAAGUCCGCGGCGAAGAAGUUGCGCAGAAUUUAGCCGGAAGCUAGUUCGUUCUGGUCGUAGAUGGAUUAGGCGCUACUCGAAGGUGCUUGUAGGAGGUUAGGACUUCCCCUAGUCGCUGUCACUGCCGAACAGUUCUCGGAAGACUGCCCGCUUCUUCAGCAGAGCGCGAGGGAUGUGCUUCCCGGGUGUUCGUGGGAGCGCACGUGGUGUCUCGGGAGCCUCCGGCGACGUCGGCGAAGCGGCGAUGAUGUCCUCAGAAGUGGUGGCGUUCCCCUCGAGGUUAGGUCUGAUAUCACUCGAGGUCCGAUGCGGGUCUGCGUUGAACGCCGAUAGUGACUGCCGGGCCAGAAGUUGAAGUCUGGGUUGCACGCGUAACCACUCCGCGUCCGACGGUCUGAGUACCCCUGGUGACCGGGGGAUGACGACGAGGAUCUCGUGGCUGCAGUCUUGGGUUCCUCGGCUUCUCCGGGGCAAACUCGAUUCUAAUUAAUAAAUAGUCGCCACAGAACGUCAGCCUUUUUCGCCGGCGACUUCUCGAGUUCCAGAGGCCUCGCUGACUGUUUGGUGUCUGGCCGCACCGGAUUGAUCCGUGGACUGCGGUGGCCGAGUUGGCGGCAGCGGGGCAGGUUGUCGGUUUUGUCUCCCGAAGGAGUUUCUUGUGGUACCAGAGCUCACUCGUGCCGAAAUUUAGAAACGCCGGGGCCCGUAGGUACUCUUUACCAAAAAGUACUAGCUUAGUAUAAUCCCUUACGAGCUCACUAUACUGGUGGAAGCUAAGCUUAAUCCCUCGUCGUGAGUGGUCUUCUUAUGUAAACCAGAUGUUGUAUUUCUCCUUCCGAGUUUGAGGCGCCGCGCUUUCGCCUAGUGGCAGCCGCGCGCACUACUCGCGGUCGCCGGGACCGCUGACCCGGCCACGGACAUUGCGUGCGCGUGCGCGCGCGUCGCGCUGUGGCGUGCCGCCACAAAUUUAAAUAAAUAAUUCACUUUUUCUUUGUUUCUGUUUAUCUUAGAAUAAUCUUUAAUACUAGAUGAAUCACAGGCGUUUAAAAAAAUCACAAUCCACAUAAAUUUGGAACAUUCUGAUAUAACAUUAAAAAUUCUACGAAAUUUGUAAAGAUUAAUACUUCUCUUGUAGUAAAAAAGAAUUAUCAAAUAUAAGCAUUAUUUCCUUUUUUGCAAUGGUUUCAGAGCUAAAAUUCAGAUAUUUAUCGAAAUUUUUAAUUGAUUAGAAAAAAUAAAAAAA